rnacentral:rRNA from 1 species
CCCUUAGACGUUCUGGGCCGCACGCGCGCUACACUGACCAGUGCAACAAGCAUCCGUCCUUAGCCGACAGGCCCGGGCAAUCUUUGAACGCUGGUCGUGAUGGGGAUAGACUUUUGCAAUUUUUGGUCUUCAACGAGGAAUUCCUAGUAAACGCAAGUCAUCAACUUGCGUUGAUUACGUCCCUGCCCUUUGUACACACCGCCCGUCGCACCUACCGAUUGAAUGGUCCGGUGAAGCCUCCGGAUUGGCGCGCACCUUGGUGCCGCCGAGAAGUUGGCUAAACCUUNCNAUUUAGNGGAAGGUGAANCCGUANCA